CGGGCAAUAGCGCAGCUGGUAGCGCGCUUGGUUCGGGACCAAGAGGUCGGCGGUUCAACUCCGCCUUGCCCGA
rnacentral:tRNA from 1 species